CCGGCGCACGGGUGAGUAACACGUAUCCAACCUGCCGUCUACUCUUGGCCAGCCUUCUGAAAGGAAGAUUAAUCCAGGAUGGGAUCAUGAGUUCACAUGUCCGCAUGAUUAAAGGUAUUUUCCGGUAGACGAUGGGGAUGCGUUCCAUUAGAUAGUAGGCGGGGUAACGGCCCACCUAGUCAACGAUGGAUAGGGGUCCUGAGAGGAAGGUCCCCCACAUUGGAACUGAGACACGGUCCAA
rnacentral:rRNA from 1 species